CAGAACGAACGCUGGCGGCGUGCUUAACACAUGCAAGUCGAACGCGAAAGGGACUUCGGUCCUGAGUAAGGUGGCGCACGGGUGAGUAACGCGUAGAUAACCUGUCUUCAUGUCUGGAAUAAUACGCCGAAAGGGGUACUAAUACCGGAUAUUCUUGCUUUUCAUAAGUUAUGCAAGCAAAGGUGGCCUCUGCAUAUGCUACUGCAUGAAGAGGGGUCUGCGUACCAUUAGCUAGUAGGUGGGGUAAUGGCCUACCUAGGCGACGAUGGUUAGCGGGUCUGAGAGGAUGAUCCGCCACACUGGCACUGGAACACGGGCCAGACUCCUACGGGAGGCAGCAGUGAGGAAUAUUGCGCAAUGGGGGAAACCCUGACGCAGCGACGCCGCGUGAGUGAGGAAGGCCUUCGGGUCGUAAAGCUCUGUCAAGAGGAAAGAAGUGUACAAUGGCUAAUACCUGUUGUAUUUGACGGUACCUCUAAAGGAAGCACCGGCUAACUCCGUGCCAGCCGCCGC
rnacentral:rRNA from 1 species